rnacentral:lncRNA from 1 species
UUUCUACAAAAAGUAUUAUACCGACUUUCAAACCUAAGUAAAAAAAUCAAUUGUACUGAACAUCAAUAUUAACUAAAAAACAAUCAACUAUACGUCUCCAAAAUUCUUAGCCAAAACACGCUUUCAAAAGCCAAUUAAUACCAACUCAAAAAUAAAAAUAACUUUACACUCAAAAUAUUAUUUUGUUAUAUUUUUAGUGAAUAAUUUCGACCACAUAAAAAUAAAACAAUUAUUUAUUAAAAAAAUGAAGAAAGUCAAAUAAGGGGCGGGUGUCACAAGAAAUUCAAACAAUGAUCAGAUGAAAAUGUCUAUCAAGAGCACUAUUAGAUUAAACCAGUACCUAUAAUAAAGUUUACCUUCCCAAAUGCAACGAUCAAGUUGUCCAUCACAUUGAUGAAAGGAUUAUCAACAACUAAACUCUCAAAAUAGCUAUGAUUUUUUAUACAAGGUAUACCUAACAUAAAACGCUGAAAAAUAAAAAUCUAGAUCUAAGACUACUACCAUCGGACACUCAGUGUCACCGCAUAAGACAAACAAAUGGAAUUACUAAUUUAAAUGGAAAUUGGAGCAAAUUUGGUGACUUUGGGCGGUUCACCGCCUUUGAGGCGUGAGAAAGUCAUGCUUAUGUGGCACCCUUUAAUUAGGUGUCACUUAAUUAAAUAUAUAGUUUUAAAUACUCUUUUUUAAUAGUUUAUUGUAAUAUAAAAAAAAUUAAAAAUUAGUAAAAAAAUUCUAUAUAUAGACUUCAAAUUUUUUUCAUCAACACCACUUCAAUAUCCUUAUUUUCUCAGCAAUCUUUCAAUAGCCUUAUUUUUUAUCUUCAUUUUUUCUUCAUUUUGAAGCCAUGGAUCCAAAUGACCCCAAUUAUUAUUCAACUUUUGGAUCUUUUUUUCACUAUUUUUCAAAUCCAGAAGAUGUUCAAAAUUCUCAGUACUACGAGAAUUCUCAAUUUUUUUCACACCUCAACCAACUUUCUACCCCUCACGAACAUCUCAUUUCACAAAAUAUCUCUCGGAAUUUAUUUCAAGAUGUCGAACACCCAAAGAAAAAGCUCACUCAAUUUAUGAAGCAGGUGGCAGUAAAUUCCAAGACUUGGUUGUUUUCAAUGAUGUUAUAAGUAAACAUCCGAAGUGGAACUUUGCAAUCAAUGAAGUGGGUGAUGAUCAAGAAAGUGGUGGCAGCACAAAAAGGUCUAAGACUUCUGAAGAUGGUGAUUACUUUAUCCCGUCCAAUCCAUAAACUCCAACUACUGGCGGAUCUACUAUGUCUCGUCCUACAGGUAGAGAUGAAGCUAAAAGGAAAGGAAAAGGUAAGGCAAUUGCAUCUGAAUCAAAUGAAAUGUAUGAAGAAAUCCGUGCAUUGAGACUUAGUAGAGAUCAUGAAAAUGAGUUAAUGACUGCUAAAAUUGAAUUGGAACGUGAAAAGUUUAAAAUGAAUUCUCUGAAUAUGGAAAAGAAAAUGUUGGUCGCAUUGUUGGCGAAGGACCAUUUGUCUGCAGAAGAGGAAGAGAUGAAAAGCCACUUCAUUGCCAUUUUAUUUCCGAAGUAGUUUUGCAAUUAUGUAAUUUUAAUUUAUGUUUCAAUGGUGUAAUUUUAAUUUAUGUGAUUUCAAUUCUGCAUUGCUCUAUGUAAUUUGUUUGAAUUUUCAAUCCAACUGUUCAACAUGCAAGUAUCUCUGACACUCUUCACGUGAUCAUAAUUUUCUAUCACACAUUUUCUGACAUUUCACAUGCACACUUUAAUCUCACUGACAUUCACAUGCACACUUUAAUCUCUAUCAUUCACAUCCACACUUAAUAAUUGUCCUGCCAUUUCACAUGCAUCCAAAUCUCUAUCAUUCACAUGCACACUUAAUAAUUUUAUCACUGCAUUUAUUUUUCUAUAUAACAUACCUCAUAUCCAGUACCUAACUCAUUCUAAUGCCAAAAUGUCUUCUUCAUCUUCAUCUUCAGAUGAAUGGAAAGAACGACGUUAUCAACAAAAUCGUCAAAUUGAUCGCAUUAUUGACGAUAUGCUCAUAAACAAUCCCAAUCUUAUUUUAGGAACUUCUUCUUCCACCACCAAUCUUAUUGACGAUAUGCUCAUAAACAAUCCCAAUCUGAUUUCGCAUGCAAAAAUCAUUGUUUCUUCGUAUAAUAGAUGUUGUUACUGCUAACGAUGAAUAUUUUCAACAGAGACCCGAUUGCACUGGUAGGCAAGGCCUUUCACCACUACAAAAAUGCACUGGAGCUAUGAGGGUGUUGGCUUAUGGAACCGCAACCGAUGCCGUUUAUGAAUAUUUACGAAUGAGUUCAAUAGUCACGAGGGAUGCUGUCAUUCAUUUCGUAGAAGGUAUCAUUUCUUGCUUUGGUGACACAUACCUUAGAAGGCCCAAUCAACAAGAUUUGCAAAGACUACUCUAUGAUGGAGAACAACGUGGUUUCCCCAGCAUGAUUGGAAAUAUUGAUUGCAUGCAUUGGGAAUGAAAGAACUGUCAUACUGCCUGGGCUGGUCAAUAUGCAGGAAGAAGUGGAAAACCAACAAUCAUUUUGGAAGCCGUUGCAUCAUAUGAUUUAUGGAUAUGGCAUGCGUUCUUUGGAACUCCAGGUUCGUGCAAUGAUAUCAAUGUACUUCAUCGAUCUCCCGUUUUUAGUGAUAUUUUAGAAGGUAGAGCACCUAUUAUAAGUUAUGUGGUCAAUGGUCGUCAAAAUGAUAGAUCUUAUUAUCUCACUGAUGACAUAUAUCCCUCUUGGGCUGCAUUUGUCAAGACAAUUUCAAGUCCAGUGCUCCGAAAGCACAAGUUGUUCGCUCAACACCAAGAGGCUGUAAGAAAAGAUGUCGAGAUAGCCUUCGGAGUUCUACAAGCUCGAUUUGCAUUUAUUCGACGUCCUUGUCUCAUUUGGGAUAUGAUUUUGAUCGGAAAAAUUAUGAUGACUUGUAUCAUCAUGCACAAUAUAAUAGUGGAAAAUGAACGAGACACAUACCAGAACUAUUAUGAUCCCACAGAAUUUUUGAUGGAUUUACCUGCAGAUGAAGAUGCAUCUAUUCACUACUCAACUGACAAAAUUGCAAGUUUGUCUAAUUACAUGAUCAACAGGGAUCAAUUUCGCAAUCGCGAAGCUCACAAAGCUCUUCAGAAGGACUUAAUUGAGCAUAUAAGGGCAAAAUUUGGCACGACUAAUUGAAUAUGUAAUUUGCAUCUAUUGUACUUGUAAUUUUAAUUUCCUAUAUGUAUUUGUAAUUUAUUUUAUGUAUUUUUAAUUUUGUUUUACUCGUGUAAUUUUUAUUGUAUGAUCAAGUAAAUUUUAAAUUUUAUUUAUUUAUUUAUUUAUUAUUUUUCUCUAUUAUUUUAAUUUUUAAAAUAUAUUUAAAAAUUAUUGUGACUAAUAAGAAUAAAAAAGAUAUUUAAGUCAUGUGAGUGUCACUAAUGGGAGUAGAUUUAAGAUAAAGGUUAGGAUGUGUAUGUGGAAGAGAGAUAAAUAAAUAUUUUAAUGGAAGGUUAGGUUGAGGAAAAGUCACGGAGAUAGUCUAAACAAGAUGCAACACCAAAAAAUGAAAAUCUACCUAAAACUUUACUUAAAACUUUGGUUUAAGCACCAUUUUAUGUAAAUAAUCAUAGAUCCACACACUUUAUGCCAUAAACACGAAAAAUUGAAAACUGAAG